CAGCUGGAUGGCGUGGGGGAAGAGGAGGAGCAACCGACCAAUGAACUCCAGCCGGGGCCGCUCCCGCGCCUCGAGGGGGGGGGGCCGGGAGGAGUCAAGUCGACCAAUGAACGGUGGGGGUGGCGGUCGGGGGUGGGGCUCCCGGGGGGCUGGAGAAGCGGGGUUGGGUGUGUAGCUGCAGCGCUCUCAGGGCUGCCUCCGCCCCUGGCUUCCCCCGCCUCCCCGGCCGCCGCCGCGUCCGCGGGGUUGGUUGAGGCGGACCGUGGGGUGCUGACUGAAGUGAAGGCGCCGCCGCCGCUGCUGCCCCUACCGCCGCUACUGCUACUGCUACUGCUGCUGCUGCUGCUGCUGCUGCUGCUGCUGCUGCCGCCGCCGCCGCCGUUGCCGCCGCCGCCGCCGUUGCCGCCGCCACCGCCGCUGCCGCCGGAAGGAGAGAAGCCGAAAGGUGAGUGGUGGUGGUGGUGGUGGCAGCCGCCCCCGCCCCGAGAAUCGAGAAGGGAAGCCCAGUUCCCUGCUCGGCCCUCGGAGCUGGGAUCCACUCCAUCCCGCGCCACCCUGCCCUCCGGCCCUGCGCUUCCUACUGCCUCCUCUGGCCUGCCAUCUAAGCUGGGCAAAGGGGGCGCUGCCCCCGGGGACGGGUCCCUGCGUCCCUUGCCCUCGGAGACAGGCGGUCGGGGGUGGGGGGUGGGGAGAAUGAGGCGGGUAGGGAAUGGCCGCUCCUCUCUUGCUGCUUUGAUUCUGUUCUUGGGGAGGGGAAUUGAGGAGAAAAUGGAGAAAGCCUCGUUCCCUGUCCCUGCGCUUCUUCCUCUGUGGCGCUGUGGCUGUCCCCCCCACCUCUGUGUCACCAUGUGUCUGUCCUCACGUCACGGGGUGUGCUGGUCUUCUCUUCCUCCGUCACCUCGGGCUGUUCUCACCUCCCGCCCCUAUGGCCCCCUCAAAUCACCCAAUCUGGUUACUCCCACCCCUGUCACCGUGUCGGCCUGUCUUCUCCAUACCUCCACCCCUCUCGCGGUGUCUGCUCCCCCCUCCCCAAACAUGUCCGUCUCCACCCCUUCUCACCAAGUCAGUUUGUCUCUUCCUCUUACCCACAGUUUCAAGUCUAAUCCUCCUCUCCCCCCUUUCCUAGCC
rnacentral:lncRNA from 1 species